rnacentral:rRNA from 1 species
GGGUUCGUCACGGUGUGGUCGCGGCCUCCGGGGGCUCCCCCCGGGCGGUAGAGGUAACACUCUUACGCGCCACAUGUCUGAAUCCUUUUUUUACGAGCACCUUUCGUUCUCCUUCGGUGGGGCAACCUGCCGUUGGAACUUAUCAAAACCUUUUUUGCAUCUAGCAUUACCUGUUCAGAUACAAACAAUCGUUACAACUUUCAACAAUGGAUCUCUUGGCUCUGGCAUCGAUGAAGAACGCAGCGAAAUGCGAUAAGUAGUGUGAAUUGCAGAAUUCAGUGAAUCAUCGAAUCUUUGAACGCACAUUGCGCCCCUUGGUAUUCCAUGGGGCAUGCCUGUUCGAGCGUCAUCUACACCCUCAAGCUCUGCUUGGUGUUGGGCGUCUGUCCCGCCUCUGCGCGUGGACUCGCCCCAAAUUCAUUGGCAGCGGUCUUUGCCUCCUCUCGCGCAGCACAUUGCGCUUUAGAGGGGUGUGGGCCGCGUCCACGAAGCAACAUUAUCGUCUUUGACCUCGGAUCAGGUAGGGAUACCCGCUGAACUUAAGCAUAUCAAUAAGCGGAGGAA